CGGAACUGAUUUCAGAUUCAUAAGUAAAUACAGAAGGAAAAAAAUACAGAACAAUGUGGGUGUGCAUGUUCACACUUAUAUAGAUCAUUACAAUAAUAAGAAGCUAUCCUUCGAAAAGUAAACAAAAGCCUCCCCUGCCCCUACACUAAUUAAGUAAACAAGGCCCAAUAAACAAUUACAACCCUGAGUUAAAAUAAGGGCACCAACUACUAUGGGCACACAGCAAAGUAGUGUAAGUAGUAACACUAAAACUAAAACCUCAGUAAGCCUUAAUACAAUCGGGAAAUACUAAAACGUUUACUCUAAGAAUUAGUCAAUACUAAAAAAUCCUGUUUCAGUCAGUGAGACUCAUUCCGGGGUGAGUCUUAGAGCGUGGAGUCUGCAAUUUGGAUAGUCGAGAGCAGUCGAAUGAAUGGACUAAGAGCAGCUCUAGUGUUGGUAGGAAUCUAACCUCGCGGAUGGAAACUGAACUAUCAACACUGCAGCAGUCAAUCGCUCACUGUCAGUAGCAGAAUUCGACCUCCAAACAUGGCUAUGUGCGAGGGAGUAAAAUAUUCAGCCUUCACUGCUCUGACCUCUUUAGUGCAGUACAAUUUCCUCUUUCUCUUGGCUGUUUUGGAGAUUGAACUCGAUGAGAAAGGAGUAGAUUACACUAUUUUAUUUGGUUGUAGGCUCCACUAAAUCGAACUCAGCAGUGGAGGCGGCGAACUCAGCAGUGGAGGUAGAGGUCGAAGGGAGGGGGAGAUGCCAUCUAGCCACGGAGACACCAUCUAGCUUGACCUUCUUGACUUGUUAUUCGGCGGUGGCUUUUGCGAAGGAAGAAAUUAGAACCAUUAAGUAGAUUGAAGGGCGAGGAAAAACAAUGAAGCAAGAAGAGAAGGUCGUACAGUACCUGGGGGCGGAGACGGUGGCGGAUUGGGGCUAGGGUUAGGGUUUUGGGCGGGGCGCUGGAGUCUGCAGGUGAAGCGAAGGAGGUGGUCGUUGAGGCCGUUCAUCGUAGGGGUGGCGGCAGGGAGACGACGAUCCUUAGGGACGGUGGUGACGGGUUCAUCGAUGUCGUCGUCGUUGAGAUCGCCGCAGAGGUCGAAGGGAGGGGGAGACGCCAUCUAGCCACGGAGACGCCCAAGAGGCAAGAGGCAAGGGGACGGAAUCGAAUCGAAGAUGCGCAGUGGGGAUGGGUGCUCUUCCUCGUUGGUUCAUACCUAUCUCACUUGCCGAGGAGAGGAAGGAGAGGGCGAG
rnacentral:lncRNA from 1 species